UACGAAGGGUGCAAGCGUUACUCGGAAUUACUGGGCGUAAAGCGUGCGUAGGUGGUGAGUUAAGUCUGUCGUGAAAGCCCCGGGCUCAACCUGGGAAUGGCGAUGGAUACUGGCUCGCUAGAGUGCGGUAGAGGAGAGUGGAAUUCCCGGUGUAGCGGUGAAAUGCGCAGAUAUCGGGAGGAACACCAGUAGCGAAGGCGGCACUCUGGGCCGGUACUGACGCUGAUGCGCGAAAGCCAGGGGGGCGAACGGG
rnacentral:rRNA from 1 species